ensembl:lncRNA
UGAGUGUUAUCCAAUAUUCUUAUCAGGGCUGUGUAGCUGCACAGUGGAUGACACAGAGCUUCAAAGAGCCCGUUCUGAGCACAGUGGGACCAUGACCAGAACCCCCUCCUUUGUGGCCUGCUGCACGGCCCAGGCUCCACAUGGAUGGGGACUCUCUGUAGCGCUGAGUGCCUGAGAGGUCUGCGUGGCGUGGGGCAGUGCGCUGCGAGGACCAGCUCCGGGUCAGGCUCUGUUUACCACCCGUUCAUGGAGGAUAAAGGCGGGUUUAUGCCGCUACCACUGAGGGCUCAACAGGCCCCUUUAUGGGGAGAGCUCUGAGCCAAUGGCACCGUCAUGGGUGUGGCCAUGGGAGUGGUCAUGGGCGUGGUCAUGGGAGUGGUCAUGGGUGUGGCCAUGGGCGUGGUCAUGGGCGUGGUCAUGGGCGAGGCCAUGGGAGUGGUCAUGGGAGUGGUCAUGGGAGUGGUCAUGGGCGUGGCCAUGGGAGUGGUCAUGGGUGUGGUCAUGGGAGUGGUCAUGGGUUUGGUCAUGGGUGUGGUCAUGGACACGACAAAUGAACAAGAAUAAACUAAGGCUGAACGAUUAAUCAAAUUCAAAUCGAAAUCGCGAUGUGAUAGAACGCGUUGGUCACACCAAAGAAUGAUUUAUUUAUUUUUUAGUGAAUAAUACACAACAUAUGGAACCAUUAAAUCGCAAUCGCAAUAUUGGUCAAAAUAAUCGCAUUUGGAUUACUUCCCCAAAUCGUUUAGCCCUAGAAUAAACAUCACCGGACGGCAAUUUAACUUAAAAAUUAAAACUAAACUAAAGCUUUCAGUUGUUCGGGCAUUCUAAAUAUAUCGCCGUGUGCGUGUCUCUGUGUGAGAGCGAGCAAGAGAGCAACAGAGAGAGAACGCUUCAGUAAUAGAAUGUGUCCCUGUAUGACAGUAAUAGGACCCCAGCCUGGACUGAGUGGUUGGUCCCUUGUUCUCCACAUCGCUACGGUUACAGCAUCAUGAGCUGACACAACAAACAAACCAUUUGUUUUCACCUUCCAAAUAAUUAUACAUUCACAACUUGGGUGAGGAGGAAACAUGUUGGAACAACACACUUAGAACCACCUCCUCUUGUGUUUCUCCCUCUCCUGAUGAUGCCUCAUAAAUCAUCUCCAGACGCCAACCAGGAAUGAACCAGCAGACUGAUAGCAUCUGAUGAGCCGUGCCGAUCGCAGCGCUGCCG